rnacentral:rRNA from 1 species
GAUGAACGCUGGCGGCGUGCCUAAUACAUGCAAGUCGAGCGAAGCGGGGACGGGGGAGUAACACGUGGAUAACCUCCUAUAAGACUGGGAUAAAGUCGGGAAACAGGAGCUAAACCGGAUACUAAUAGAUGGAGCCGCGCUGCAUUAGCUAGUUUGUAAGGUAACGGUUUACCAAGGCAACGAUGCAUAGCCGACAUGAGAGGGUGAUCUGCCACACUGGACCUGAGCCACGGUCCAGACUCCUACGGGAGGCAGCAGUAGGGAAUCUUCCGCAAUGGGCGAAAGCCUGACGGAGCAACGCCGCGUGAGUUAUGAAGGUCUUCGGAUCUUAAGACUCUGUUAUUAGUGAAGCGGUACCUAAUCAGAAAGCCACGGCUAACUACGUGCCAGCAGCCGCGGUAAUAC